ensembl:miRNA
CCCUCCUGGCGGGCAGCUGCGGUGCAUUGUAGUUGCAUUGCAUGUUCUGGCGGUAACCGUGCAAUGUUUCCACAGUGCAUCCCAGAGGCCUGUCU